rnacentral:rRNA from 1 species
AUUGAACGCUGGCGGCAGGCCUAACACAUGCAAGUCGAACGGUAACAUGAACUAGCUUGCUAGUUUGAUGACGAGUGGCGGACGGGUGAGUAAUGCUUGGGAAUUUGCCUUGAGGUGGGGGACAACAGUUGGAAACGACUGCUAAUACCGCAUAUUGUCUACGGACUAAAGGGGGCUUCGGCUCUCGCCUUUAGAGAAGCCCAAGUGGGAUUAGGUAGUUGGUGAGGUAAAGGCUCACCAAGCCGACGAUCCCUAGCUGGUCUGAGAGGAUGAUCAGCCACACUGGAACUGAGACACGGUCCAGACUCCUACGGGAGGCAGCAGUGGGGAAUAUUGCACAAUGGGGGAAACCCUGAUGCAGCCAUGCCGCGUGUGUGAAGAAGGCCUUCGGGUUGUAAAGCACUUUCAGUCGUGAGGAAGGGUUAGUAGUUAAUACCUGCUAGCUUUGACGUUAGCGACAGAAGAAGCACCGGCUAACUCCGUGCCAGCAGCCGCGGUAAUACGGAGGGUGCGAGCGUUAAUCGGAAUUACUGGGCGUAAAGCGUACGCAGGCGGUUAGUUAAGUCAGAUGUGAAAGCCCCGGGCUCAACCUGGGAACUGCAUUUGAAACUGGCUAACUAGAGUGCGGCAGAGGGUGGUAGAAUUUCAGGUGUAGCGGUGAAAUGCGUAGAGAUCUGAAGGNANUACCGAUGGCGAAGGCAGCCACCUGGGCCGACACUGACGCUCAUGUACGAAAGCGUGGGUAGCAAACAGGAUUAGGUACCCUGGUAGUCCACGCCGUAAACGAUGUCUACUAGCAGCUCGCCUCGUUUAGAGGGGUUUUGCGCAGCUAACGCGUUAAGUAGACCGCCUGGGGAGUACGGCCGCAAGGUUAAAACUCAAAUGAAUUGACGGGGGCCCGCACAAGCGGUGGAGCAUGUGGUUUAAUUCGAUGCAACGCGAAGGACCUUACCAUCCCUUGACAUCCAGAGAACUUACUAGAGAUAGUUUGGUGCCUUCGGGAACUCUGAGACAGGUGCUGCAUGGCUGUCGUCAGCUCGUGUUGUGAAAUGUUGGGUUAAGUCCCGCAACGAGCGCAACCCUUAUCCUUAGUUGCUAGCAGUUAGGCUGAGAACUCUAAGGAGACUGCCGGUGACAAACCGGAGGAAGGUGGGGACGACGUCAAGUCAUCAUGGCCCUUACGGGGUGGGCUACACGCGUGCUACAAUGGCAAGUACAAAGGGUUGCGAACUCGCGAGAGUAAGCGGAUCCCAUAAAGCUUGUCGUAGUCCGGAUUGGAGUCUGCAACUCGACUCCAUGAAGUCGGAAUCGCUAGUAAUCGUAGAUCAGAAUGCUACGGUGAAUACGUUCCCGGGCCUUGUACACACCGCCCGUCACACCAUGGGAGUGGGCUGCAAAAGAAGUGGGUAGUUUAACCUUCGGGAGGACGCUCACCACUUUGUGGUUCAUGACUGGGGUG